CCUGUCCGAGCGUCAUUUCAACCCUCGGGCCCACCCUUCGCGGGGAACGGGCCCGGCGUUGGGGACCGGAGGCCGCCUCGGCGGCACCCGCCCCCUAAAUUCAGUGGCGGUCGCGCCGCAGCCUCCCCUGCGUAGUAGCACACCUCGCACCGGAGAGCGGCACGGCCACGCCUCGAAACCCCCCAAUUUUUUCAGGUUGACCUCGGAUCAGGUAGGAAUACCCGCUGAACUUAAGCAUAUCAAUAAGCGGAGGAAAAGAAACCAACAGGGAUUGCCUCAGUAACGGCGAGUGAAGCGGCAACAGCUCAAAUUUGAAAUCUGGCCGCAAGGUCCGAGUUGUAAUUUGUAGAGGAUGCUUUUGGCGAGGUGACUUCCGAGUUCCCUGGAACGGGACGCCAUAGAGGGUGAGAGCCCCGUACGGUCGUGCCACCGAGCCUCUGUAAAGCUCCUUCGACGAGUCGAGUAGUUUGGGAAUGCUGCUCUAAAUGGGAGGUGUACGUCUUCUAAAGCUAAAUACCGGCCAGAGACCGAUAGCGCACAAGUAGAGUGAUCGAAAGAUGAAAAGCACUUUGAAAAGAGGGUUAAAAAGUACGUGAAAUUGUUGAAAGGGAAGCAUUCAUGACCAGACUUGGGCUUGGUUGAACAUCCGGCGUUCUCGCCGGUGCACUCUGCCAGCUCAGGCCAGCAUCAGUUUGCCCCGGGGGACAAAGGCGGCGGGAAUGUGGCUCCCUACGGGGAGUGUUAUAGCCCGUCGUGUAAUGCCCUGGGGUGGACUGAGGUUC
rnacentral:sRNA from 1 species